GACCUGAUACCCAACCCGAUACC
rnacentral:siRNA from 1 species